GCCUGGGUGGCUCAGUUGGUUGAGCGGCCGACUUCGGCUCAGGUCACGAUCUCGCAGUCUGUGAGUUCGAGCCCCACAUCAGGCU
rnacentral:tRNA from 1 species